AUGAUAUAUCUUGAUUUUAGUAAGGCUUUUAACAUAGUCCUACAUGACAUUCUCAUAAACAAAUUAGGGAAAUGUGAAACACAUCAAAGAUUGUGAAGUAUUCAGACAAUACAAUAAUGGGGGCCAUACAAGUACCUAAGAUAAUAGAGUGGGGUGAGAGAGGGAUCCAGUAGAGAAAGAAACACAAUAGAAGGUUGUCUUUUUUUGUUCUUGUUAUUCCUUUUCUGUAGUCUCCUUUCUUUGGGGCCAUUGUGUGACAUUUUAGGCCCGUAAGGUCUUCUGUCACUGCCUGCCCUUUAACCAUGGGUACCUCUCUGCUGUGCAGCUUUGGCUCAGAGCCCUGAUGCCAACAGCAUGCCCACAGCACGGUAGCCUCACCUUGGCUUCCAUCAUCCUGGUUACUCCUUGUAGGGGGACACCAACAGUCCUUUCGGUUCUGAGUCUCCCUAAAACUAUCUCCUCUGUAGUGUCCAGUCCCUCUCACUGGGCCCUCACAGAAGAUAUUAAGUUUGCUGCCUCCAAAGAGACACCAUAUGUACCAGCCUGCUAGUUUAGCUGAAGGCCCACCCACAUGUAGUUGAAAUACACAGCAUUCAGAUGGUUUGUGGUAAAACUAAAACGAAGUUCAUUAACCAAAAAUUUAGGAUUAAGUGGGCUUCUAGUACGAAUGAAAGAGAGAUGAAAAGUUACAAACUAUACAUGCUUUCUAGUGAUGACAUUUAACUUCAGGAAGUUACAGUCUGAACAUAAGGAGGUUUCUUCAGUUUUCAGAGACUUUCAGCCUCCUUGGUUGAAAAUUUCUAUUUGUUUUUCCUCAGAUAUACAAGAGCUCUGGCCACUUGUAUCUGUCCAGUAAUGGAUACCAAAAUGGCUCUCUAUCUUUGCUUAUCUCUUCCAAAGUUCAAUGACCUUAUCUCAGGAGGCAAGGAGGUUUCUUGUAGUUGCAUCUUCCAUUGUUAAGAGGCCAUCCCCCACACUGGUUUGCCUGAGGACUUUAUCUACUUUGCAUGUAAAUGUAAUUUCGUUGUCUCUUCUUCCUCAAUUUACAUUGGAAACACAUUCAAGCAGGCAGAACCACAAACCUUUGUUUAAGGUGGGGAUGUCUUAAACCCUGUUUGCCAAACACAUUUUAAGAAAAUAUUUCCAGCACGUAUUUAUAAUUAUUCGUAUAUCAGCUGUACAUACACCACACACUAAUAUUAAUGAUCAACAUGUCACUAGUUUACAUAUAAUAUCUUCCAGGGCACCUUUUAGGUACAGAUUAUGACAAUAGCGAGUUGGAGCAAGGAGAGUGCCAGGCCUGAUAUGAGUUAUAUUAUGGUGUGCCCACUGCCAGUUGGCACAGAAGGGCUUCCUAGGUCACACAUUGCUAUCCCCUUUGCUGUGGCCACAGGGGGACCCAGAUGGAGUGGGAUUAGAGUUGUCUUGUGCAAGGUGGGGGAUAGAAUUUGGAAAGCCAGCUCAGAGGUCUACACUGGGAAUACAUUGCAGAGCCAAGUUGUGUGUGGCUCUGUCAGGAUCUCCGUACAAUGGCUUUGGCAGCGCAGAGCUGGCAGAUGGCCUGGGGGCUGCCACUACGCAGAGCCACUGCUCUUGUCCUUUGUAGAGUGGUAAUGCAGUGGGUGGUGAACUGCAGUAGCAUCCACAGAGGAUUUUUUCCUUUUGUCCUACACUAAGCCUGACUACUUGGGCAGGGUGCAGGAAGAGGACUUGGUGCUCUAUGUUUCGAUGUAUUUUGUUUGUCAGCCUGCCGUGAUGAACGCACAUAAGACAAAGACUAACACAGUCCAUUUUGGUGUAAUUUCCCUAGGUUCCAAAUUAUCCAUUUCUUUUUUUAAACUAUCACCAAAUAAUUUGAGUUCUCAUGUUAAUCAUAACAGGCACCCCGGGAGUUUGGAAUUUCUGUACCUCUACUGCAGACGACACAUCUUUGUUAUUGCACAUCUCCUACAGAAAACACACAUACACUGUAGUCAUUGUAGACAACAAUGAGCAGUUGGCUCAUAAUUUCAAUUUAUUAUCAAAAGGUUUUCCUCAGACGACAAACUCAGAAAGCUAAAAUGAACAUAGUUUUUUAAAUACAGUAUACCCAUUAUAGAAGUCAUUGGAGGUAUCUGGUGUUUAUUUUUGGAAGUCUUAACUGGCUUCAAUACAAGAAGCAGUAAGUUUCUUGGCAACCUGCACAAGGGCAUUUCAUAUAUAUCAUAGUGUAUUUAAAGCCUUUUGCCAGUACCGAUUAAGGGUCCAAUCUUGCAAACACUUGUAUAACUCUGACAUAACCAGUCUCAUUGACUUCAAAUGGACUACUCACAUCAACAAAGUCAAAGUAUUUACUGGAUCUGUCCCUAAAAAUUGAAAAAAUACAGAAGAUGCCAUCCAUAGGUCUGGGCACAUCCACACUAUCACAACCAGUGUUAAAUAUAAUCACCAGUAAACUAGAAACCUUCAACAAUCUCCAAUACUGACCAAUUAGUGACUGUCUGGAUUAAGGUCAAAGCAACCUCCUAAAUAUCUGAGAGAACAGACGAUCUUUUCAGCAUGCAUGGAAUGGCAACAAAUCUGGGCUCCAGACGAUCCAGGGGAAGCACAUUCCUGAGUCAAGGCCUGAUGGAGAAUACCCUGCCAGCUGCUUCCUUCCAUUCCUCACAAGGGAGCUCCGUGCUGAGUGCCCCUGUGGAUCCCAACUCUGGAUGUAUUGUAUGGGGAGAAAGAUGAUCUCUUAGCACAAGACUUGAACAGAAGAGAAACAGGACGAUGAAGGAUACAGCAUCAAGAUUAUUGCUGCUAGACGGACUGUAGUCACUGCAAACCAAGGCAUCCAAUUAAGGAAGAUCUAGGAAGCAUGAUGUGCUUUAUUGGCUUGGCUUUCUGUUCAGAUUUAAAUGAUAUUCUAUGACACACUAAUAGUUGGUAGAGUUAGAUGGGCAAAAGAUUUCUGUAAGGCUUCCAUGUUCUACUCUUAUCUAGCUGGCAAUCUCCUUUGCUUUAGUUUCUGUAAAAAAGGGAACUAAUCAAACUGUCUUUCCAUAGUAACAUCUUGAGUUUGUCUUAGUAUUUCUCUGGAAAAAGCCCAUCUAUUACAUCAUCUGUAGACUCUUGAGUUGUGGGCCAGAUGGUCUGGUGAGUGUUAAGAGCCCCUCUACCUUCCUGCAUGUGCAGAUCCCACCUUCCUCCAUGGAAGUGUAUGGGGGGCUGACACCUUCAUGGCAUCAGUACCAAACCUCCUGAAUUUCCUCUGUGGGAUCAGAGAUCUGCAGCCUGAAAGAGGCAGGGGGAUGGGGGGAAUGGGAGGGAGAGGGUCAUGUGUGAGGGAGACAGAGAGUUAACUCAGCCUUAGUUAAUUUGUCAAUGGAUUAUAAUACCAGUGUAACCCCUUUCCAGGUGUUGUCAGCAGCAACAAGGACCAGGUUCAAAUAUCUAGGGAUUCCUCUUAAAAUUAACAUACCAUUGGCUCAAGCCCCUACCUAGAGACCUGAGGAAACUGGGCACCUUAAUAGGCAAUACUUCCCCACUCACAGUCCCUGAGUCUGUGUGUGAAACAAGGAAAACUUUAUUAAGGGACAAGGGGACAUGGCAUUAACUUGGGAAAACAGCAACAGUAAAUCAGCAAUAUAUUUAUAUGAACCAUAAGAGAAACCCUCACACCAGUGAUAACUUUGGGAGUCAUCCUUUACCUCAAUUCCCCACUAGCUAGUGUGAACAUUUGAUAGGCGAAUGCCUCUUUAACAUGUCAAUUUCCACCUUCCCCCUGAGCUACACACUACUCCAUGGUUGGUGUCAGUGGUUAGUGUAGUUCCAGAGUGCACUUGGGUGGUCCUGUCAGCAGCCACUAGGCAAAGUGAUGGCCGAUCCAGUCCUGUGGUUCCACCACCUCACCCUGCUGUUGAGACUUCAGCUUGAUUUGAUGCUGGGUAGGGAGGGCCUCAGCAGAAUUCAUGCAGCUCUGUUGCUGCCUCCAUGACUUCAGCAAAGAACUACCUCAGUGCUGUGUCUCACUGCAAAGCAUGAUCCUAUCACAAGGUCUUCAGUGGAGGGGGUGAAUGGUCUAUAGGACCCGUGAGCAGAGUCCCUUUCCCCUCCCUCUGUCUCUCUGUUAAAUUCCACUCUCACACCAAUUCCCAUCACUCACUGACACCCCAUCUGACUGGCAUCACCACUUGGAUGGUUUCUGGGUAGAAAGCUCUGGACUCUCUCUAGGCAUACAUUUCCCCUGGCAGUACUGAGCUCCCUUCCCUCUAAAGCAGCAGUUCUCAAACUGUGGGUCAGGACCCCAAAGUGGGUCGUGACCCCAUUUUAAUGGGGUCGCCAGGCUGGCUUAGAUUUGCUGGGGCCCAGGUCAGCGCUGGGUGGCAGAACUCAGUUUAUAGGCUCCCUGCCUGAGACUGAAGCCCCUGGGCUUCUGCUUUGGCUCCCCCACCCGCAGCGGUGGUGCUCAGGCAGGCUCAGGCUUCAGUCCCCCUUCCUGGGGUCGUGUAGUAACGUCUCAUGCGGCGCCUCAUGGUCUCAGACGCCAUCCGAUGGUCCAGCGACAUCUACAUCGAGCACAUCACCAGCCAC